rnacentral:misc_RNA from 1 species
UGUGGGAGCGAGCCUGCUCGCGAUUCAUACGACGCGGUUUACCCGAAUGAUCGCGCUGAUGCUUUCGCGAGCAGGCUCGCUCCCACU